GCUUUUUUUCUGUCUUUAAUAGCAUUGUGAUUUGGGUGUAAUGUGGAGCAUUUUUGUGUAAAGCUGCUUCAAAGCUCAGAGUUCAAGCUUGAUAUAUAUUAGUACAAUGAAAAAGAUUUAAAAGAUGUGAUGACCUGAUUGGAAUUCUAAUCCCAUCUGAAAGAUACACAGGGGACUUUGUGAAGCCCUUUGGUUUGUCUGCAGCAGCAGAGGAGCUUGAGGGAGCUAAGGCAGAGACGGAAGACUGCAGCACCAGACGUGAGGACCAAGAAGGUAUGGAUGAGGGAAGCACAGGAGAACUUACAGGACUGCUUUGAAUCAGUGGACUGGACUGUAUUCAGGGAUUCAUCUUUGAAUUUGGAUGAGCCUUGGGACAUGUAGGCAUUGGCUGUAUUACAUGCUGAGGAUAUUGUGAAAAUAUUUUAAAAAUCCCUAUUUUUGACAUGGAAGGAGGAUCAUUGAUGACACUUCAGGAAGAAGAAUGUCAACCAGGAAACCAGGAUGAGUUGCAGAAGGGGUUAACAGUCAUGAGGACUCAUGUUAAGUCUCUGUUAAACAGUCGUGUUUGAAAACUCAGAGUUAAACUUCAGGAGGACAGUAGCCCAGAGAAACUAACAUUUUUCAGAGAAUCAGUUGCAAACUUGUGCAACCUUUAGAAAAAGACCUGCAAUAUAUUUUUCCAACUGGUUAUGUGACACUCUAAAUCAGAGGUUCCCACCCUGGGUCCAUGGAUCCCUCAGUUAAUUGUAUGGCUCCAUGGCACAAAAAAAGUUUGAAUCCCCUGGUGUAAAUGAAUAUGGCCUUUGAUGAUGCUGGGCUUGGAAUGGACACUGGGACAACAAGAAGAUCUUGCACUUACAGUAGAUACAACAUCUAACAUAAUGAAACUUGCAGUAAGGGUCCCUCAUCCAAUACUAUUUGUACAUCAUUCACUUCUUUAUGACAUGGUUGGCUUCUAAUUAUUCAUGUUUUCCUCACUAAUAGAUCACCUUACAUGGGAGGGUGACAUUACUGAGAAAUUUGUAGGGGUGCUGUAGUCUCUGAGCAAUGAUUGCCUAGAAAGAGCAACUCUUUCCCCCUCCUGCCAAAGAAAUAUAUUUCUCUUGCUUUCAACUAUUGCGCUCUUACAUUCUCUCCUGAGCAGGAAAGACUCACAAGGUUAUGUGAUGUCUUGCAGUGUUGAGACCCUGUGUGGCAAAAUUAAUGCUCUUUGCUUGACUCUGCGUGGUCUGUCAUGUAGGGUCAGUACAACUAACCCUCUUGCUAGUCACAUUGGCUUGCACUUCCAGACUUAGAGAGUAACUUUAAAAUCUACAGAGCUCCAUUGUAGUCAACAUUAGCCAGUACUCUGCAUCAAAUUGCCUGUUAGCUGACCUGGCAAAAACUCUAUUUAUAAAGCACAAUACCAUAGACAUUAUUGAACUGGUUGGACUCUGUUUCCAAGUCACUUAUAUUAAACUGCUUAUCUAUUAUUCAUUCCCCAACAUUAGUAUCGCAUAUCGUGAUGCAGGAACUUCAAAAACAAGUAACAGAUUAUUGCUUUCCUUUGUAAAGUCUGUUCCAUCCAAGAAUGCUGUGCUUGGUGCUUUCUUUAUAUGGCAAAAAACCCUUCACAUCAGCAUAAUGCCAGCUAAAAUAAAAAAACAUCACUGUAAAAAAAAAAAUCCAAUGGAAGUACAGCGCAGUAAGCACUGAACACCAUAUUUGGCUACAUAUCAUGAAUCAAAACUCUUGAAAAAAUUUCCAGUACAUCAAAGGCUAUUUUAAAGUAUCUCCUGCAAGUCAUUUUUUAGAUUUACUCAAAGUAUUGGAAGCAUCAUAGAACCUAUUCUCCAUGGGCACUCCCAUGGGUCAAGGCUGAUAUUUUUCAAGGCAUAAAAUGAGCAACUGGAGGAACUCAGCAGGUCAAGCAGCAUGUACUGUAUAGCCCAGAUGAAGGGUAUUGACCCAAAAUAUCAAUUUGUCCAUUUCCCCCUACGGAUGCUACCUGAGCCACUGAGUUCCUCCCACAGUUUUUUUUUCUCUCUAGAUUCCAUCAUCUGCAGCCUCUUGAACAACACAGACUGGAGACACUCAGCAGGUCAGGCAGCUUCUAUCGAGGAGAGUAAGCCAUCAACAGUUUCAGGGUGUGAGCAUUCAUUAAGAGUGAGCUGCAGCAGAAGUGGUGGGUGGGGAUUCGUUUUCAACAUUUAAGAGAAGUUUGAAUUAGUACCUGCAAGGGAGGGGCAUGGAAGGUCAUUGUCCACAUACAGGUCUAUGAGACUGAGUACCCUUUCCCUUAAUCGACCAAAAGCUGUGCUGGCACUUUGAAGAAAAUUGUGAAUUUCGUCAUCAAAUUUCGACUUGACAAGUAUGGCAAUGACCAUCUUUGUUAAUCCAAGUAUAAGGUGAGAAGACAAUGGGAGAACAGUAAAGUACAUUUGGAAAAAAUGGACAAUAGGAUAUUGUUUACAGUAUCAGAAGAGAUCAUGCCUACAGUUUCAAGAUUCACUCUUCUUGUGCAGAAAGUAUCUUCCUCCAGAUGCAGUGUGUAGUGUAAAUGUCCGUGAUGGCGGGAAGAAAGACCCCGAUGAUCUUCUCAGCUGACCUCACUAUCCACUGCAAGGUCUUGCGAUCCGAGAUGAUGCAAUUUCCGAACCAGGCAAUGAUGCAGCUGCUCAGGAUGCUAUCAAUACAACCCCUGUAGAACGUGGUGAGGAUGGGGUGGGGGGGGGGCGGUGGUGGGAGAUAUAUUUAUAAUAUCAGAAAAUAGCAGUGAUUGAAAGAAUAUACAAUAUUUUAAUUUACAAUGUUUUACCAACUCAACUGUUAAAAAUUAAUUGAUAUGUGAUAGUUGCUUGGGAAUAAUCUAUGUUGAGAUCUAAACAAUCUCAAACUAUUUUGUUGUUUGCAUGAUCAAUUACUGUUUUAAUUUCAAUAAAUUAAUUACAUGAAUGCAAUGAAGUCUACAUUUAAAAGUAAAUUGAGGAGAUAUUUCACUUUCAAUUGUUUGCCCCUUUUCAAUAAUACAUACAAACUGUAAAGAAAUUUAGAGGACUCGAAGUAAUUUGGUCCAUUGCCUGUGGUUCUUUGAAAGUCCUAUUCAUUUAUUCACAUUCAGUAGAGCUUCUUUUCAAAUAUUUCUCCAGCUGCAUCAUCCAUAACCCCGUUCCAUUUUACAUGUGUAUUAGGUUGAUGGACUCCUGCUCCUUCCCCUACAAAGAGUUUCUUCAUUUUUCACCACUGUUUCUUACAGCCUCUUAUGCAAACAGAAUACCAUCUUCUGCCUAAUAUGUCUAGUCACCAAUAUUUUAGUUACAAUUGCAUCAACCAAAGAAAAUAAUCUUUCCUUUCAUAAGCAAACCAUUUUGAGUACAAUUUCAGCAAAGCUCUUCUGUAUUAUACUCUCAGCUUCCAAAAGUCAGCCAAUCAAAACCAUAAAUGAUUUUGCAUCAUAGUUGGAAAAAUAAAUCCAAACUACAGAAUACUCCAUGUACAUCGAAUUUGGUCCUCCUUAAUCUUGUCUAGCAAGCAGAACAAUUCUUAUCCAUCGAUUUGCUUUUGCUGCCUGGUCUUACUGGAUCUAUGCUUUACCUGUCUGUCAUAAAAUAUUAUGUUGAAACAAACCAUCAUUAACAUGGAUUUUUUUUCUUUUCAGUUUUAAUUCAAUCCCUAAUCAUGUAGUCUUUUUUUAAAUAAUUUUUUUAUUGAAUUUUUGAAUGGUUACAGAAGGAAAAAAAUAUUAUCAACCCUUUCCACCUCCCCUUAACCCCUCCCCCCUAACAUAUCCCUGUAGAAAGAGAGAGAAAAAAAGAGAAGAAAAAAGAAAGAAAGAAUGCCUGGAUAUCCCCACAUGCUCCAUGGAGUUCAUAAUAGCUUUAGUAUAUAUAUACACACAUACAUACAUAUAUAUAUAUAUAUAUUUCUUUCCCCAAAUAACCAAUAAUUUUAUCUUCAGAGCACCUAUAUAUUUAAUCCUAUCUUCUGUAAAUAAGGGUGCCAAAUUUUCAGAAAUACUUCAUAUUUAUCUCUUAAAUUAUAAGUAAUUUUUUCAAGUGGAAUGCAGCUGAAAGUUUCAUUCUUCCAACGAUCUAUACUUAAGUAUGAAUCCGAUUUCCAAGUAACUGCAAUAGCCUUUUUGGCUACUGUCAAUGCAAUUUUUAUGAAUUCUUUCUGAUAUUUAUUCAGUUUGGAUUUCGGUUUUAUCCCUUCAAUAUCGCCUAGUAAAAAUAAUGUUGGAUUAUGUGGAAGUUGUGUUCCAAUAAUUUGUUCCAAUAAAACUCUUAAAUUUGUCUAAAAAGGUUGAAUUUUAAAACAAGACCAAGCAGAGUGUAAAAAAGUACCAAUUUCUUGAUUACAUCGGAAACAUUGAUCAGAUAAAUUUGGGUUUAAUUUAUUUAUUUUUUGUGGUGUAAUAUAUAAUUGAUGUAAAAAAUUAUAUUGCACUAAUCUUAACCGGAUAUUUGUUGUAUUUGUCAUACUGUCAAGACAUAGUCUUGACCAACUUGUUUCUUCAAUUUCAAUAUUCAAAUCAGUUUCCCAUUUUUGUCUUGACUUAUGAGGUAUAGUAAUGUCAUUUGAUCAA